GGAAAACUCACCAGGUCCAGACAUAGGGAGGAUUGACAGACUAAUAGCUCUUUCUUGAUUCUAUGGGUGGUGGUGCAUGGCCGUUCUUAGUUGGUGGAGUGAUUUGUCUUGUUAAUUCCGUUAACGAACGAGACUUUAACCUGCUAAAUAGGGCGCAGGGAUGUCCUUAUUCUUGCGCGCUUCUUAGAGGGACUUUUUGCGACUAGCAUCAGGAGGUUUGAAGCAAUAA
rnacentral:rRNA from 1 species